UACGUAGAGUGCAAGCGUUUGUCCGGAAUUAUUGGGCGUAAAGAGCUCGUAGGCGGUCUGUCGCGUCGGCUGUGAAAACCUGGGGCUUAACUCCGGGCCUGCAGCCGAUACGGGCAGACUAGAGUUCGGCAGGGGAGACUGGAAUUCCUGGUGUAGCGGUGAAAUGCGCAGAUAUCAGGAGGAACACCGGUGGCGAAGGCGGGUCUCUGGGCCGAAACUGACGCUGAGGAGCGAAAGCGUGGGGAGCAAACAGG
rnacentral:rRNA from 1 species